rnacentral:rRNA from 1 species
CACAGAGGGUGCGAGCGUUAAUCGGAAUUACUGGGCGUAAAGCGCGCGUAGGCGGCUUUGCAAGUCGGGUGUGAAAUCCCCAGGCUUAACCUGGGAACUGCAUUCGAGACUGCAUUGCUAGAGUAUGGGAGAGGGAAGUGGAAUUUCCGGUGUAGCGGUGAAAUGCGUAGAUAUCGGAAGGAACAUCAGUGGCGAAAGCGACUUCCUGGACCAAUACUGACGCUCAUGUGCGAAAGCGUGGGGAGCAAACAGG